GAUGAACGCUGGCGGCGUGCCUAAUACAUGCAAGUCGAGCGAAUGGAUUGAGAGCUUGCUCUUAUGAAGUUAGCGGCGGACGGGUGAGUAACACGUGGGUAACCUGCCCAUAAGACUGGGAUAACUCCGGGAAACCGGGGCUAAUACCGGAUAACAUUUUGCACCGCAUGGUUCGAAAUUGAAAGGCGGCUUCGGCUGUCACUUAUGGAUGGACCCGCGUCGCAUUAGCUAGUUGGUGAGGUAACGGCUCACCAAGGCAACGAGGCGUAGCCGACCUGAGAGGGUGAUCGGCCACACUGGGACUGAGACACGGCCCAGACUCCUACGGGAGGCAGCAGUAGGGAAUCUUCCGCAAUGGACGAAAGUCUGACGGAGCAACGCCGCGUGAGUGAUGAAGGCUUUCGGGUCGUAAAACUCUGUUGUUAGGGAAGAACAAGUGCUAGUUGAAUAAGCUGGCACCUUGACGGUACCUAACCAGAAAGCCACGGCUAACUACGUGCCAGCAGCCGCCGUAA
rnacentral:rRNA from 1 species